rnacentral:rRNA from 1 species
CACGGGGCGCAGCAGGCGCGAAACCUCCGCAAUGCACGCAAGUGCGACGGGGGAACCCCAAGUGCCACUCUUAACGGGGUGGCUUCUCGAGAAGAAAAAGCUCUGAGUAAGACAGCCGG